AGAAAUGUGUAGGGGCAUCGUU
rnacentral:miRNA from 1 species